ACAUGCCUACAACAUAGUGUUAAUGCACCAUAUCCCAUUAGAACUUUGAAGUUAAACACACUCGAGAUAGAGUAGUAAUGGGAUGGGUGACCAACUAGGAAGUCAUACUAUUACAUGCC
rnacentral:rRNA from 1 species